rnacentral:rRNA from 1 species
UCUGAAUGACUGGGCGUAAAGGGNCGUAGGCGCUUACAUAGUUAGGCGUGAAAUUCCUGGGCUCAACCUGGGGCUGCGUCUAAUACAUGUAGGCUUGAGUGUGAAAGAGGGUCGUGGAAUUUCCAGUGUAGAGGUGAAAUUCGUAGAUAUUGGAAAGAACACCGGUGGCGAAGGCGGCGACCUNGUUCAUUACUGACGCUGAGGCGCNAAAGCGUGGGGAGCAAACAGGAUUAGAUACCCUNGUAGUCCACGCUGUAAACGAUGUGUGCUGGAUGUUGGGGUGCUUAGCACUUCAGUGUCGUAGCUAACGCGGUAAGCACACCGCCUNGGGAGUACGGCCGCAAGGU